rnacentral:lncRNA from 1 species
CUGGUUUCUUUCUCGUAUUCUUUAAUUGACUUACUUUGACUUUUAUUUGUCUCAUCUGAUUUCGUCGCGCUCUUAAUUUCAUUGCCUUUUCUCUUCGUCUCGUUGUAUUUGUCUCCGUUUUCUUGUGUUGAAAUUUGAGGAACAUUCCAGGAACUGCAGCUUGUCCAGGAGGCAAAUUUUAUUGCAGGAAUGCGGGGAGUGUACCUAAUUUCAUUUUUUCUUCUCGCGUUAAUGAUGAUUUUUGUGGUCUGUGUUCUUCUCUUGUAUUCUAGUUACAUACUGUAAUUUUUCGUAUUUUAAUCCAUUACUUGCCGAAGAAUAUUGAUUUCUUCGAAGAUUUUAGGUUAGGUUACUAACAAAAUGUCCUAAACUAAAUUGCAUUUCAUAGAGUUUAGUUUUUGUUUGAGUUACUUGUUUUUUUAUUAUUGAAACUUCAAAAUUUUGGUUGGCAAUUCAACACUUCUGUAGAUUGCUGUGAUGGAAGUGAUGAGUAUGAAAACAGGAUCCGUUGUCCCAAUACAUGUAUCAUGGGUGGGACUGUUGAACACAAGUCUGAAAGUAUUGGAAUCUCGGUUCAUAAGGACUUGGAAAUUGAUAAUGUUGAUGUAAAAGAAACCAAGAAUGGUGUCAAUUUAAAGGAAUUGGUUCAGACGCUUGAAGGUGUAGUUAUAUCUUUUAUGGUGUUUUGGUUUUGAUGCACUUAAGAGGGCUAAUGCAUGUUAGUUCAUGAGAUUAAUGGAAGUUGUGUCUUGAUGCUUUCAGGGUUGACAUUUGUGAUAUUCCUGCAGAUGUCUGCUGUUGGGUUUUUGAUGGUCCUGUGGGUAUCGGAAAAGCAUGAUAGAUCUAGGAAACGCUGAUUUUGAUGAAGGAAAAAGAAUCAACUUUUAGCUCACUGUUUGAUUUUGGGUAAUAGUCCUCAAAGUACUUAUCUUGUUUUGCUUUUUCGGAUAGAAUUUUGUGUGCGCCCUUAUGUAUGUUGUUUCGUGGCGUUUCAGGCUAUAUGAUAUGCAUGUGUUCUUCUCUUGUUUCUGAUACAUUGCGUUCCUCUGUUUCCCUUGUCUCAACCCAAAAAGGGGCCAGACAUUAUCUGGAUGUUGAUUCCAUUAGGUUUAUAAAGCAUCAAUCUGAGAAACAUGAGGAAAAUUCAUUCUAAUGCACUGAAGAGGUUCAAGAGGAUGAAGAAUUCUCCCAUGCAAAAAUAGAAGCUUUUGUAUGUUGUUGUAGUGAAGAAAUUGUUGAAUUUCUUUGCUUUGCUACUACUAGUCUGGUAUGAACGAAGAAGAGCUGCUUGAUUAUAUUCCCUUAAUUAUAUGCGGAGUGAAAUGUCAGUUGCAGUUGUGUCAACCAAGCUUCCAAAAUUCUUAUCCUUUCUCCUCCCAUUGAAUCGUGUCCGCUCAAUUUCCUCACCUGCAUUUCAUACUGUUGAAGAAACCAUCAGAGCUGCAGUUGAAUCCAAGACUUACGAACAGAUACCUGAUCUUCUAAUUUCACUAAAACAAAUUUCCCAAAGGAAUAAUCCCUACUUGCUUCUGUCUAAGUUUUCUCAAAUUCGGAGAACCCAUAGCUUUGAUGAUAUGUUACAAGCUUUUCUCCCACUCAGACCAGGUUCUCGUCCCCUAAUUGCCUAUUCCUACCUUCUUUCUCACACACUUCAAGCUCCCAAUCCUCUUCCUCUUUCUCUUGCUGUCCUCCAAUGUAUUCUUCGUUCUGGGUCUAGCGCUGCUCUCCAGACCCACCUUCUUUUAUCUUCUGCAUGGCUUCACCGACGCCGCCAAUCUCACUCUGUCUCCAACAUCCUACUGGAGAUGAAAUCCAUUCGUUAUUUUCCUGAUUCUGCCACCUGCUAUUAUAUAUGCGCACCAAGAUUUCUCUCUCAGUUUUAUUUCUGUGGACGUGUUCAGGCCGCACCACGAAUUUAUUUAUCUGUAAGUUAAUUUUAAUUGUGCUAUUAUUUUUCUUUAUACAUCGUGAUUUUGUAACGAAAAUAAAAAAUUUUUAAAAUCUAAUUGGGAUUUGCAUAUCCAUUCAUGUCGAUAUGCUUACAUUGAAUUAUUUUUGUAUUUUUUAUUUUUUUAUGUAAAUUGUUAUGGAUUUAAAGUAAAGAAUGUAUAUUUUUCUUGUUUAAUUUCCACUAGAAUUAUACUAAAUAUUGCUAUAUACAGUUAUAUUAGGGUAUAAUAACCUCCCCGUCUUGACAAAUUUGCAUUCAAAAAGGACUCCUAUACAUAAUAUGUAUAUCAAUACGUAUAAAUUUGUUUUAAUUUCUGAUUUUUUUAUUAUCCAGAUAUUUAAUAAAUUAUGAUUUGUAUUCUCAGCAGUUUAGAUUUCUUUCCUAUUGAAAAAACCUUCAUAUAUUUAGUAAUAUUUUACUUAUAUACAUACAUGUCUCUUCUUCUUCUUCUUCAUCUUCAUAUGAGCAACCUAAAUCCUAAUUAACCCUACCCAUAAAGCUUUUUGGUAUUAGGGUAACAAUCUUUUCAUGUCCCAAGAAAUUUUCUUUUUUAUUUGAUUUUCUUAUCUUCCCAUUCGAUUUUCUUGUUCAUAUUGUUUAUAAGACACAUCCUUUUCGUUCUUAUCCAAACAAAUUUUCAAAAAGUUUGUAUGUAUAUAUAUAUAUAUAUAUGUGAUCAUAUAUUACUGUUGAAUUUCUUCCCUGCAUGCAUAUAUAUUUAUAUUUCCUUUUUACUUAUUAGUAUAUUCUUUCUUUUUCUCCUCUCUCUCUCUCGUGUAUUGUUUAACAUAUAUGUUAAAAAUAAUAUAUAAGUUUGUAUUAUUUUCAUGAUUCUUUUGACCGAUUUAGGAUGCAAGGGGAUAACGAAAACAAAUCAAGCAAUACCAUCGGGAGUACACAUCCAGCAUGUGCCUCGUGCAAACAUCAAAGAAAAAAGUGCAACAAUGACUGUAUACUGGCACCAUACUUCCCUGCAGAUAAAAAUAGGGAGUUUCAAGCGGUGCAUAAAGUGUUUGGAGUGAGUAAUGUUCAGAAACUAAUACGAAAUUUGAAAGGCGAGGAUCAGAAAAAGGCUGUGGAAUCUUUGGUUUGGGAAGCUUCUUGCAGACAAAAGGAUCCAGUACAAGGACCUUACGGAGAAUACAAGAGAGUCUGUGACGAACUUACAUUAUACAAGAAUCAAAUACAAAUGAUGCAGUUGCCGGGACAAGGAGCUACCAUGUUUAAGCUCGGGAUGCCAAUGAUGGGUUGGAAUGGGAAUCAUGGAAUGAUCAAUAAUAAUAAUAACAACAACAUGCUCAAUUUUAACCAAGAAAACGAUAAGUUGAUAUUUGACUCCAACACCUACUGCUACCCUUCUACUAAUGUAGAGAGACUAAAGAAUGAUCAUGUGGGUGUUGGUGUUACUCUUACUCCUCAAAUUCACCAACACACAACAAAUGCAGUAUCCCAUUAAUCAGUUCUACCUUUCUGGUAAGUUUGAACUAAUCCCUAUAUAUGCAUUUAAAUUAUACAUACUACAUAUAUAUAAUGAAAAUUUGUAAUUACCAUCUAUAUUAUAUUUGACCCUAUUAUUUUAAUUAAGUAAUUAUUCUUUUUUGGGUGAUGAGUAGAGAUAGAGAUUGUGCGUUCCGUUCAUUAUUUUUAAAUUAUUGUGUUAUGAUUAGUAUAUGUGUAUUAAUUAAUAAAAUAAUAUAGAUUUUCACUUUUUAAAUCGAGAUUUAAUUAUUGAAAAUACAUAAUCUAUACAAUUCAUAAACGUAUUCUUGUGAAUGUAUAAAAUAAAAUAAAUCAUGGUUUUUAUUUGGAUUUCACUUGCUUAAUUAUUGUAGGUCAAUUUGGUCCUAACUAAUGGCAAGAUGAUGGAAGGUGAAUGUAUGGAGAAAGAGAACAUAUUUUGGAUAAGGGAAAGCGUAGGAGAUGAUACAAGAAACUAAUAUCUUUGUGUACUUUUUUUUGGGUUUCAUAUCUUCUCUUUGUUUUCCCUAAGUAAUAUGUUUAAUUGGAUAAUGCUAUUUUCUCAUAAAAAUAUGCUAGAUUUUCAUGUAUUUAUAUAUGUUUCGUGUGAUUUAUAUAUUAGAUUCUCGUGUAUUUAUAUAUGUUUGGUGUGAUUUUUAGUUUUAAAUUAAAAAAUAUAUAAUUAUUGUCUUUCCCCUAAGGGUUUAAUUUCACAUUACUAAUAAUUUUAAUUUUUUUAAAAAAUUAUUAAUUUAAUGGUAUUAUACUUGGUUUAUAAUUUUAAAAAAAAUUAAUUAUUUUUUAUAUUUUAAAAAAAAUAAAAAAGAAAUUACUUUUAGAUAAAGUAUAAAAAUUAUAAUAUUAUUUUAAAAUUUCAAGGAAUAAAGUAAUGUAAUUUAAGUAGAGUGUUUAAUGUAUUUCGAAUUAAUUAAAUUAAACACUACCGGACCAUAACUUGGGCCCAAUUCGUGUUGAAUCAAGUGUUGACUUUUGGUCAACGGACAUGAAAGCACAAGUUCAGAACUUCCGAGUCCAUGAAAUUCACAAAGGAAAAAGGAGGAGCAACAGAUUACUAUGACAGUAACCUCUCAUCUCUACUCACCUUUCUUCUUCGUGAUCUUCAUCGUUGCCUUCGUCCGCUCUGACCUGCUUCCCCGGGGUGUUCAUCCUAUAGGUUACCUUUCUCUCAUUCUCAUUUUACAUAUAAUCCAAUUACUUGUAUUUUAUUUUAGUAAUUGGAUCAAUUUGCUGUUAUACUAUCGAAUUUUGAUUGUUUUUUUUUUUUGGGCAAAAAUUUGGCCAGAUGAGAAAUACUUUGCGUCGGAGGUGAUAAAAUGCAGGGACGGAUCGAAAUCGUUCACCAGGGACCGUCUCAACGACAACUAUUGCGAUUGCGUUGACGGGACCGAUGAGCCUGGUUUCUUUCUCGUAUUCUUUAAUUGGCUUACUUUGACUUUUGUUUGUGCUCAUCUGAUUUUGGUGCCGCUCUUAAUCUCAUUGCCUUUUCUCUUCGAGUCGUUGUAUUUGUCUCCGUUUUCUUGUGUUGAAAUUUGAGGAACAUUGCAGGAACUGCAGCUUGUCCAGGAGGCAAGUUUUAUUGCAGGAAUGCGGGGAGUGUACCUAAUUUCAUUUUUUCUUCUCGCGUUAAUGAUGAUUUUUGUGGUCUGUGUUCUUCUCUUGUAUUCUAGUUACAUACUGUAAUUUUUCCUAUUUCAAUCCAUUUACUUGCUUAAGAAUAUUGAUUACUUCGAAGAUUUUAGGUUGGAUUACUAACAAAAUGUCCUAAACUAAAUUGCAUUUGCAUAGAGUUUAGUUUUUGUUUGAGUUACUUGGUUUUUUUAUUAUUGAAACUUGAAAUUUUGGUUGGCAAUUCCAACACUUCUGUAGAUUG